rfam:Oryza barthii chromosome 5, whole genome shotgun sequence.
GCCAGGUCGGACCAAUUGGCUAGAGCGUAUGGCUGUUAACCAUAAGGUCGGAGGUUCGAGCUCUCCUUCUAGCG